rnacentral:rRNA from 1 species
UACGAAGGGGGCUAGCGUUGCUCGGAAUUACUGGGCGUAAAGCGCACGUAGGCGGCUUUCUAAGUCGGGGGUGAAAUCCUGGAGCUCAACUCCAGAACUGCCUUCGAUACUGGAAAGCUCGAGUCCGGGAGAGGUGAGUGGAACUGCGAGUGUAGAGGUGAAAUUCGUAGAUAUUCGCAAGAACACCAGUGGCGAAGGCGGCUCACUGGCCCGAUACUGACGCUGAGGCACGAAAGCGUGGGGAGCAAACCGG